rnacentral:lncRNA from 1 species
UCCCGCAGCUAACCCUGCUGCCUGUCUGUGUCCUCCUCGCUCGAGGGCUCAGUACGUCCUGCAAUCACAUCCAAAACAAGCAGAAAAAGCUGGAAAUUCCAAACCCAAACUCAAGAACUCGGAUGGAACUGUUCACGCUACUGUUCACGUCCCCAAACACCUUCAAUUCUUCCUCCACAGCCCAAAACAAGAUAGCUAGAAGGAGAAGGAAGAGAGGAUCACGCCGUGCCCAACGAUGCGUCUUGGGGUGGCCGGACGGCGACGAAUUCGCCGGAGAAGGGAAGAGCAGCGACG